AUGCCCAUCCCGCCUCAUAUUCUGCCGGAAUGGUAUUUCCUACCGAUACAUGCCAUUCUUUGCAGUAUACCUGACAAAGCGGGCGGUGUAGCCGCAAUAGCACCAGUUUUUAUAUCUCUCUUGGCUUUGCCUUUUUUUAAGAAAGGCAUGUGUGUAGUUCAAGUUUUUGACCGAUUCACCAAGGAAUAUAAUCCCGACGAGUAG
rnacentral:rRNA from 1 species